rnacentral:lncRNA from 1 species
AUAUGUAUAUAAUUUACAUAUGUAUAUCAUUUGUUGUUGUUAAAUAAGAGAAACAGGCAGCCUAAAAAGCUCAAACUUUAAUGAAAAAUGCUAGUUGCUGGACUUCUUACAAAUAAAAAAAAUUAUAACAAAGAAUUUUUAAAAAUAAUUUUUAAACAUGUAGAAGUUUUAGACGUCUUUGACAUGUAAUUUAAAUUAUUUAGAAAAGCCCAGCAAUAAAUCAAUAAUAAUACAUAAUAAUAAAUCAAUAAUAAUAAUAACUAAUAAUAAUAAUAAAUCAAUAAUAAAGUCCAAAAGUUAACAACAGAUUUACCCUUUAAAAAAAUAUAGAUUUACCCUACUGAUUCAUGCGAGUGAUCAAUUUGGUGUAACAUAGAUGGUAUGGUGUCGGGUUUUAAGCGAACAGUCUGGCCAGUCUUAUCAAAAUCUGUUUCCACAAAAUGGUACCACAGUGAUCCAUCUGGGUUAGUGUCAUGGUUUGGGUUUCUUUUUAUUGGUUUUUGCUUUCUGUCUUGUUCUGUCAUGGUUGAGUUCUGUUUCCUGUUUUAUUUUGAAAGGUUUCCUGUUUUGUCAUGUUUUUCAGUUUUACUUUCUUUGUCCCAAUCUGUCCUGAUCAUGUUCACCUGUGUCUUGUCUGCCCCGUCUGUAUUUAAGUCUCGUCUCUGCCUUGUUCUGUCAUGGUCCAUUAACGUCCUUAAUGUUUCUCAUGUAAUGUCUUUAACGUCCCUCCCUUCAUGCCAUGUUUUCAUGCUAUACCACAGUAAGUUUAGUUUUAGUUUUGUUACCCUGCUCUGAAGUGCCUUUUGUUAAUUAAACCCCUUGCCUUGGAACCGUGUGCCUCUGUCUCUGCAUUUUGGGUCUUCCACGCUCACCUGCCCCUCCCAACCUGACAGUUAGCUCUUUUUAUUGCUAAGGCCCACUUUUUCCUUAAGUCUGAAUCCAUUGGAAACCUGCAAGAAAAGUUCAGUCACUGAGUCAUAAAUGUAUAAAUCUAUAUUACUAUAAUAGCCUAUUCCUAGUAUACUGUAUAUAGGUUUAACACAAUAAAGUUUACAUGUUGACAGUAAAUUAAACGUACAUCAUGCAGCAUGUUGAUAAAAGCCCUGCAGCAUCAUGCAUGUCAACAUGUGUACUAUUAAAAAAAAAGUGUACUAUUAAUGAUGCACCUGCAGCUUUAAAAGAAAAAAAAUUGUAUUUACCUGUCAAAUG